UUUCGAGCUAAGCUGGCCAAACGUACACCUCCAAGACACAAUUCCUAGCGUCUGUGACAGCAAAAGCUAGCAUAGCUGACUGCUUUGCCCGAACCGUAUUACCAAAGUAUUCGUUUUGUACGAGAAAUGGGCAGCGGUGAAGUUUGUGAGAUUUGGCCGUCCAUCAUGGCGGACAGGAAAUAACAGAACAAGCUUAAGCUACGAGCAGGAACAUUCCACAGGAGCCGGUUCAUGUUGCUGGGGCAGCGACGGGGCAGAGCUAACAGGCUAUUCUGGAUCUCUGAUGGAUUAAUUCCUGUUAAAACGACCCAAAUUGAGAGUGCUGAAUGGAUGACGGCAGGAGACAGAAGUGCCGGCUCAACAUCGUGAUGUCUGUCAGCCAUCGGCGAUGGACGAUGACACCGGCUAUCGGUCCAACCCAGACGGCAGCAUUAGUCGAUUCCAUCACAGAGACAGCCGGAGUCGUUCAGCUCUCAGUCACAGUCUGUUCAGAGCAGCGCAG